rnacentral:rRNA from 1 species
GUAGAUACCAGAAGGAACACCGAAGGCGAAGGCAGUCAACUGGCCCGAUUCUGACGCUCAGGGACGAAAGCGUGGGGAGCGAACGGGAUUAGAUACCCCGGUAGUCCACGCCGUAAACGAUGAAUGCUAAACAUUGGUGGCAUCGACCCCCUCAGUGUUGAAGUUAACACGUUAAGCAUUCCGCCUGGGGAGUACGGUCGCAAGACUAAAACUCAAAGGAAUUGACGGGGACCCGCACAAGCGGUGGAGCACGUGGUUUAAUUCGAUGCUAAGCGGAGCACCUCACCAAGGUUUGACAUCCUAAUGACCGCCUUAAGAAAUUUUGGCUUUCCUUUUGGACAUUAGUGACUGGUGUUGCACGGUUGUCGUCAGCUCGUGUCGUGAGAUGUACGGUUAAGUCCGAUAACGAGCGCAACCCCUAUGCUGUGUUGUAUUUUUCACAGCAGACUGCCAUGGUUAACAUGGAGGAAGGUGGGGAUGACGUCAAAUCAGCGUGGCCCUUAUACCUUGGGCGACACACGUGCUACAAUGGCCAGGUCACAAUGGGUUGCGAAAUCGUAAGAUGGAGCUAAUCCCACCAAAACUGGUCUCAGUUCGGAUUGAGGGCUGCAACUCGCCCUCAUGAAGUUGGAAUCGCUAGUAACCGCAAAUCAGCCAUGUUGCGGUGAAUACGUUCUCGGGUCUUGUACACACCGCCCGUCACACCACGAAAGCUAGGGGCACCCGAAGUCUCUUUUAGGGCCGAAGGUGAAACUAGUGAUUGGGGUG